UACGUAGGGGGCAAGCGUUGUCCGGAAUCAUUGGGCGUAAAGAGCGUGUAGGCGGCCCGGUAAGUCCGCUGUGAAAGUCCAGGGCUCAACCCUGGGAUGCCGGUGGAUACUGUCGGGCUCGAGUCCGGAAGGGGCGAGUGGAAUUCCCAGUGUAGCGGUGAAAUGCGUAGAUAUUGGGAGGAACACCAGUGGCGAAGGCGGCUCACUGGACCGGAACUGACGCUGAGGCGCGAAAGCGUGGGGAGCAAACAGG
rnacentral:rRNA from 1 species